GACGAACCGUGCGAACGUUAUUCGGAAUCACUGGGCUUAAAGGGCGCGUAGGCGGGCUCGCAGGUCAGGGGUGAAAGCCCACGGCUCAACCGUGGAAGUGCCUUUGAUACCGUGAGUCUCGAGGGAGGUAGGGGCGUGCGGAACUUCCGGUGGAGCGGUGAAAUGCGUAGAUAUCGGAAGGAACAUCGGUGGCGAAAGCGGCUCACUGGACCGAGACUGACGCUGAGGCGCGAAAGCGUGGGGAGCAAACAGG
rnacentral:rRNA from 1 species